rnacentral:rRNA from 1 species
GAGGCAGCAGUAGGGAAUCUUCCACAAUGGACGCAAGCCUGAUCCAGCAACGCCGCGUGAGCGAAGAAGGCGUUCGGGUGGUAAAGCGCUCUAUCCUGAGAUCUAGACCCGCCACUCCGCCAGUGACUGACGUACUGCAGAGAGCACGCUAGCAC